AUGUAAUAUACGAUGAACCAGUUUUCAAAGCUUGUUGUUAAGUGCUUUUAUCAAGUAGUAGAGCUUUCAAUGCUUAAAAAUUACUACAUACAAUAAUAUCAAAAAUGAUAGAUUAGAUUUACAUGAAAUAGUGGGCGCUAAUACUCAAAUUUAUGUGCCGUCAUUUUUAUGAAAUAGCUUAAAACUAAGCUCGAUAAUUUGACGUCGAUCUCCAACCAUCUCCUGUAUGGUGCUUGGGCGAGGGAGAGUUGCAAAAUUCUGAAUGGCAAAAUUCUGUAAUUAAUGAUUAAAAAUGCGUGUUGAUAACAAAACGCACAAACUGCGCACUUUGCCAUUCUGUAAUCAUAUGUUGAGUUGGAGAACGUCGCAUUGAACUAUGGUAUCCAACUGAAUCCGACGCGUAUAAUUAGUGAUUUCGAAAUGGCUUUUAUUUCUGCAGGAAGGGAGUGUUCCCCAUUUGCACGGCAGAGUGGUUGCCUCUUCCACUUCGGGAAAAUUAUUCAAAAAGAAGGACUAAGCCGCAAAUAUGGCAGCAGUUUUUCAAUCCAAGUAAGAAUGCUUAAAAGCUUAGCACUGGUUCCUCAUAGCGAAAUCUCAGAGUAUUACACAAGUUUGCGUAAUUCAUUUGACGACAGCGAUUUGCAAAAACUUUCAAAAUGGUUUGAAAAAAGUUAUGUGUUUGGUAAAAAGUCACAGCCUAAAUAUUUAACAUAAUUUUGGUCCGUGUUCGAUGAAUCUAGAUCGAAAGUUUUUCCAAGAACGCAAAACAGUGUGGAAGCUUGGCAUCGCAGCCUUAAAGUCAUAGUUGGAAAAAAUCGUGCGACGCUGUACAAAUUGAUAUCUGACUUACAAAGGGAGCUUAUUUAUGCUGAAAAAAAGUACAAAAAUUAAAAAACGGCGAAAAAAUAAAAAUAAACAGAAAAUUCAUGGAAAAAACCAACAAAUUACAAGAACAAUGAAAAAAAGAUUAGAUUAAAGUCACUUAGUUAUGUUUAGUUUAUGUUAUAUUAUUAUGUAUGUAUAAGCAAAUUUAUUUAAAAUACACGAUUUGGCUCAAAUUUUGGGGAAAAAUUUCCAGAAUUAAUUUUGGAAAACGUAAAUUACGGAAUUAUGAAAAACCAGAAUUUUGAAUGCAGCCAAAAAAAGCGAAGGAAUUGCGGAAUUCCGAUUUCCAGAAUUUUGUCGACCCAGAAUUUUGAUUCCGGAAUUUUGACUUCAGAAUUUUAAUUUUAGAGUUUUGACCGUUUCCCACCGUCUUUUCCUUACUUGGCUGAUUUGGUCCUUUCGCGGCCAGAUUACUUGGGUUGGUAAUCUUGGAUACUUUCGAUGUUGAGUGUUCCAUAUUUAUGCUUAGCUCAGAUGAAAGAGGUUGGUCACUUAUACGCAGAGCCGGUAUGCGUGGAGCAUUAGAAUACCUUGAAUCGGAAGGGGAAUCGGAGCGGACUGUUCCCGAUGAGCUAUUGGAUUACUGCACACUGACCAUUCAGCCAUGAACAGGUAUCUUGACACCUUAGCUUAGGGUGGUGGUCUUACGGGUGUCCUCACACUUCCACAAACAAAAGAAGAGCGUAAAACUAAGUGAGGGAAGUAAGGCGUCUAGCUAUUAAGUAAACAAAAAUCAGAGAAUUAAACUAUUAGGCAAAUGUGUCAAAUAUAUCAUUGACACAUUAGCAAUUAAGAAAC